AUAGUGACAAAAAUGUGGUGGCGUAGGCGUUUCUGUAGCAUCGGUUAUGCUUAUAAUACACAGUUACACACCCCUUGCUGCUUAGCAGAUUUGCGGCCAGAUAAAACUAUCACAACCGAAGCAAGCACAAGCUAUGCCAGUUUUGAUUUUUCUGGUAUUGACCUGUCAUCACCAAAUAUCAGUGUCAUCGCUUGGAUACACAGUUCCCAAUUCAUUGGAGCAGCUACCAACUACUUUCGGUCGAGUUACGGAUCUCUUCUUACCCUUUCUUUAAUCCCCUGUUUCCUCGUGUACGCCCAUGUGUGUGUGGGUGUAUUCACGAGGACGUCCUAUUUCCUAUCCCGCCUGGUGGAUUCAACUAUUCUGCGGAUGGAUAUCUUUUGGAUGCCUGGCAGUAUUUCCCAGGCAUAAAGAAGUAGAAAGACUGCAGAUCAGGCCCGGUUUUCUACCUUUUAUGAUGAGCUAAACAAUCAAAAACGAAAGACUUCAAGUAAAGUGCAACUUGAAAAUGUUAUUGACCCAAAGGGAAAUUUGCCGCCCCACCGGCGACUCUUCGUUUCCCUAGUAUACAAAACCAAAAUUCCUACAGAUCCUUAGACAAGGGCAGUUGUGUUAGCAAUAACCACUGAAUCUAUAGUAAAUCCCUUUCAAAUUCACAAAAAAACAUUGUCACUAAAUGAAAGGAUUGCGUGUAUUAUAUACGACGCGAAUUGUUUUGCAAUAAUGCAUUAGAAUCUAUAGAUGUAUGUAUUUUUUUUUUCUUAAAAUGUUGGCGGCACACAAAGAAAAGCACGAACAUUGAAUCAUUUGUCUGCACGAACUCUCUAUUUGCUUUCGUUUUAUAUUUGAAUUUUUU